UACGAAGGGGGCUAGCGUUGCUCGGAAUCACUGGGCGUAAAGCGCACGUAGGCGGAUUGCUAAGUCAGGGGUGAAAUCCUGGAGCUCAACUCCAGAACUGCCUCCGAUACUGAGGGUCUUCGAGUCCGGGAGAGGUGAGUGGAACUGCGAGUGUAGAGGUGAAAUUCGUAGAUAUUCGCAAGAACACCAGUGGCGAAGGCGGCUCACUGGCCCGGUACUGACGCUGAGGUGCGAAAGCGUGGGGAGCAAACAGG
rnacentral:rRNA from 1 species